UUUUACAAUUAGAUUGCUCAA
rnacentral:piRNA from 1 species